CCCUUAGAUGUUCUGGGCCGCACACGCGCUACACUGAAGGAGGCAGCGUGUACUCCUGGAUCGAAAGAUUUGGGUAACCCGCGAAUCUCCUUCGUGCUAGGGAUUGAGGUUUGCAAUUAUCCUUCAUGAACGAGGAAUUCCCAGUAAGUGCAAGUCAUAAGCUCGCGUUGAUUACGUCCCUGCCCUUUGUACACACCGCCCGUCGCUCCUACCGAUUGAAUGGUCCGGUGAAAUGUUCGGACCGCGACAAGGCGGACGGUUCGCUGUCAGCUUUGCUGCGGGAAGUUCAUUAAACCUUAUCAUUUAGAGGAAGGAGAAGUCGUAACA
rnacentral:rRNA from 1 species